AGGUAUACUGUUGGAUCUGUCAGAUAGAGGCAAAUGAAACCUAUAUUCCUUACAAGAUGGUAUGGACAAAAGGGCGUUGGCUGGGGCCAUGGCUCCAUACCAAGUGCCAGGAGCUGUGUUUGUGGGCUCCAAGAAAGAAUGACAGCGGGGGGAGCAGCUGCGGUUGGAGUCACUGCAUGAAUAAGUUUAGAAUCAUUCAUAGUCAUCCUCCAAGAUCCACCUGACUUCUGCACAAUCCAAGCUGAUGUUUACCAUGAGCCAUGUGUUCAUUUAUCCAAAGGGAUGAGACUACGCACCUCUGUCACUUGGGGAAGGAAGCAGGCAAGUGCCAAGGACAGAGAAGCUGGGGGUUGGAAGCUGGGUCCGCCAAAGGAAACCAAAGGGACUGAGCCUUUGGAAGGCAGAACAGAGAGAGCA